rnacentral:miRNA from 1 species
AUUCUCCGUGCCUUGGAUGGAGGAAGAGGGGAAGUGCGAGCUCCUUCAACUCGUUCGGUCCGGUGAGGAGUGAUCCA